GAUGAACGCUGGCGGCGUGCCUAAUACAUGCAAGUCGAGCGAACAGAUGAGGAGCUUGCUCCUCUGACGUUAGCGGCGGACGGGUGAGUAACACGUGGAUAACCUACCUAUAAGACUGGGAUAACUUCGGGAAACCGGAGCUAAUACCGGAUAAUAUAUUGAACCGCAUGGUUCAAUAGUGAAAGACGGUUUUGCUGUCACUUAUAGAUGGAUCCGCGCCGCAUUAGCUAGUUGGUAAGGUAACGGCUUACCAAGGCAACGAUGCGUAGCCGACCUGAGAGGGUGAUCGGCCACACUGGAACUUAAACACGGUCCAGACUCCUACGGGAGGCAGCAGUAGGGAAUCUUCCGCAAUGGGCGAAAGCCUGACGGAGCAACGCCGCGUGAGUGAUGAAGGUCUUCGGAUCGUAAAACUCUGUUAUUAGGGAAGAACAAAUGUGUAAGUAACUAUGCACGUCUUGACGGUACCUAAUCAGAAAGCCACGGCUAACUACGUG
rnacentral:rRNA from 1 species